AUUGACCGCUGGCGGCAGGCCUAACACAUGCAAGUCGAGCGAGCGGCGGACGGGUGAGUCAUGUCUGGGAAACUGCCUGAUGGAGGGGGAUAACUACUUGAAACGGUAGCUAAUACCGCAUACCAUCAGAUGUGCCCAGCUGGGAUUAGCUGGUAGGUGGGGUAACGGAUCACCUAGGCGACGAUCCCUAGCUGGUCUGAGAGGAUGACCAGCCACACUGGAACGGAGACACGGUCCAGACUACUACGGGAGGCAGCAGUGGGGAAUAUGGGACAAUGGGCGAAAGCCUGAUGCAGCCAUGCCGCGUGUGUGAAGAAGGCCUUCGGGUUGUAAAGCACUUUCAGCGGGGAGGCGUUACCCGCAGAAGAAGCACCGGCUAACUCCGUGCCAGCCGCCGCGGUAAUUC
rnacentral:rRNA from 1 species